UACGUAGGGGGCGAGCGUUGUCCGAAGUUACUGGGCGUAAAGCGCGCGUAGGCGGCCCACUAAGUCUGAGGUGAAAGGUUCAGCGCUCAACGCGAACAGUGCCUUGGAGACUGGUGGGCUUGAGGGCGGGAGAGGGAAGCGGAAUUCCGGGUGUAGCGGUGAAAUGCGUAGAUAUCCGGAGGAACACCGAUGGCGAAGGCAGCUUCCUGGCCUGCAUCUGACGCUGAGGCGCGAAAGCGUGGGGAGCGAACGGG
rnacentral:rRNA from 1 species